AUUUUUUCAAAAAAUGCUUUGACCUGGGUUAAACAGUUAAUAAGUUUCUGAAAUGGUUCAGUGCCUCUCCAUCUCGUCAUUCUUCUUCAUAAAUAAGAUUCUUAAAUUUGCAGAAUAAUCUGGUUCAAUUUUAUAGCAAAGAAAUUUGAAGCCCAGGGGUUAAAGUUGAUUUGUUCAUCUCGGUGGCAAUUGCAGAAUGAGAUUUUGGUGGCCCCGAAUCCUUGGCUUUCCCUUCCUGUUGUCUUUAUCUCCCAUAACCUCCCGAGGCAUGCAAGAACCACUGGGACCCUGGGCAUCAUCAAGGAAACAAUGAUCUGGGGGUCAGGUUGCUGGGCCCUCUUCCCCUUCUCUCCGUGAUUGUUCCUGAUUGGCCUCUGCCCCUUAAUGAACACCCAGGAGCUGCAGGGAAAGUGGUACCAAACAUAAUAGGCCAAUCAGCAUCCUCAGGCUGAUUGCACCCAGGGAUCCGUGAUUACUUCCAACUGGGGCUGGUGGAGAAGUGCAGCAGCUGCCUCUUCUCGGAAACUCAGAAGCCUUAAUUCAGAAGAAGAGUCUGUCUUCUUGGGGUUCCUUCCAGGCAUCCAGCCGCAGUCCCCCCACCUUCCUUCAGAGGGAUUUUUCCCUGCUUCUAUUGCCACUGCCUCCCAUCCCUUAAGGGAAACUUUCUGUAGUAACGGGGACCUGAGAGACCUGCGUCCAAAUCCAGCUAAAGCACUCCCGGGUGCAAAUGUCCUUGAAAAUCAAAACCUUUUUGUGCCUCAGUUCCCAAAUGGCAAUGAAUUUGAAAACUCCUGGGAAAUAAGAAUAAGUAUCAUAUGAUAGCAAGGGAUCUAGAUUGGGAACCAGAAGUCCCGGGUGUGAAUUCUGGUUAUAGCCUGGAUCCCUGGCCAACUCUUGUUGGACAUAGCAUUUCCUCUCUCCUGCUUAAUUUUUCUCUGAAAAAUGAAGGUUUGAGACUAGAGCAGGGCUUCUUAAUAUGGUGUCUAGUGGAUGGAUUUCAGAGGAGUCUGUGAACUUGGAGGGGGGAAAAUGAUAUCUGUCUUCCUUUUGAGCAACCUUGAAGUGGAACUUAGCAUUUCCUUUCAUGACGCCUAUAACCAGCGAGCCACAGUGUUAUUAGGUUUGACCAGACUGUCGGAGGUCCGUGGCUCAUAAAACAGGAACUAAAUAAUCUCUAAGUCCUUCUCCAACUUGAAAUCUUAGGAUGUUAGGAAUACGCCAGAAAUGCAAGGCACAUAUUCUCAUAAAUCAAACCAGGACUUCAAGGACCCAAGAUUAGUAGUGGGUAGAUAGAGCAUCCAAUCACUGGAGGAACAGCUUGCUCCACAGGAGGCAGGAUGACCCUUUAUCUGGGAGGUUGUACAGUCUGUACAGCCACAAAGUAGACUAGACUAAACGGCCUCUGACCAGCUUCCAGGCUGGGAGAUUCUGUUUUUCUGUAGCUCUGUGAGAGACCCUGGGAAAGAAGCCAGCAAGGGCCUCAACCAAGAGGGUUGUCCGAGAUCCAUGAUCAAGAGUAUUUAUUGUUGGAUUUGGAAAAAGGAGAACAAAUGCCCCUUUUCAAAGGGAGACGUGUGGAAGGGCAGGGAGUUCUCCUGGUUUGGUUUUUGUUUCUGUUUGUUUUUUUUUUUUUUUCCUGACUGCUUCAUUAUCAGUUGCAGUAGAAGAGACAAAUUUUCUAUCUAUAGACGAGAAAUCAGGAGAUCCGAGUUCUAUUUCCUGCUGCACUAUUAAAUAGUUAGGGAACCUUUGGGAAAUUAUUUUCCUUUUCAGGCCUCAGUUUUCUUCCUUGUAAAACAAAGGAAUGGUCAGUGUAUUGACUUAUUUUACCUGAUUCUUUUAUAAGGAAGGGCUUUUUAUGGGGAGAGAGAAGAUUGAUGUUGGGAAAGGAGACUGGACUUCUGGUUUCAGUGGAAUAGGGAAGUCCCAGGGGAGAAACUUCUCUUCACUGGUGCUGCUCAGAACCAUUUUUGAAGUUCACUUCACUAGAGAAGUGCCCCAAACACAGGGAAAUUAAGGGAUUUAGUCAACAUAAAGCAGAGGGAGGAUCUGAAUGACUAAAUGUCUACUAUGCUGUGAUGACUUUAGGUAGUGAUAGAGAUGGGAGGGAAGGAGGAAAGAGAGACACAGAGAGAGAGAGAUAGAGACACAGAGACAGAAUCAGAGAAGGACAGAGAUGGAAGAGAGAAGGACAGAGAUGGAGACAUAGAGACAUAAUCAGAAAGAGAGAGACAGACAGGAGAAGGGGGGGAGAAAGACAGAGAUAGAGACAGAGACAGACAAAGAGGAAGGGGGGGAGAGAAAGACACAGAGAGACAGAAUCAGAGAAAGAGACAGACAGAGAUAAAAAAGACAGGAGAGAGAGACAGAGAUGGGAGAGAUAGAGACAGAAAGGGAGGAGAAAGAAAGAGGAGGAGGAGAAGAAGAGAAAGAGAAGGAGGAAAAGAAGAAGAAAGAAAAGAGAACAGAGACAGAGACAGCGACAGAGAGACAGAGAACGAGAACAUCAAUGACUUUUUAAAAUUACACAAGAGAAUAAAAAGAAAAUGAGAAGGGGAUACAGACAAACAUGGCAGUUUUGUUACUACCAUGCUAAAUUUAGUGAACAAACUAUAUGAUAGAGGUCCUGAUUAGUGCAAAUAGCGAGUCUAUUGAAGUAGUUGCAGAUUUUCACAUUUACAGUAGUCUAAGUUAUAAUCAUGUAAAAGAUGGUAAUUGGUUCCAGCCCAGUGGAAACGAGCAGUACAAAUUCAAAUAAUAUGAAUACUACGGGGGAAAUCAUUAUUCACACUAAUCGAGACUUAGCUUUGUGAUCCCCCUUUCUGCUCUUUGGAAAUAGAAAUAUUCAUGUAGAUGGAGGCAGGGCCCAGCCUAUCAAAGGUCUUCUUCUUGGACUAUCUUUUGUUCCCUAGCCCUCCCCAAAUCCCAGCUUUCUUCCUAAUUGAAGAGGACCUUAGAGAUAUUCUCUAUGGAAUAGAACUCAAGACUCAGACACGAGACCUAGAUCCCCCCCACUUCUAUUACUUAUUUACAACACUUGGGUCCCCUAUUUGACAUUAAUUGGUCUGAUGUCCAAUUUCUGUCCUCCCCACUCCCCCCCCCAUUAUAGAACCAGGCAAGUCAUCUUAACACUAGGGGGCAGCAGCAGGCUUGGUCACCCAGCCUUGGAAAUGUCCCUGCUCAAUUCCCUGUAACUGCUGAGCUUCUCUACUUGAGGGUUCUCCUUCAGAGAUCUCCUAAGGUUAGAAGUGGGCAGGAACCCCUAGUGGUUAGUCCUGACCAACUCCCUCAUUUUAUAGAUGGGGCUGUAAAAACCAUGAUCUAGGGAUGAUGGAUCUCAUCUUGGGUCCCUGCAGAAGUACUCCCCGCUUGUGUGGUUUAGACCCACUGACGGUUGUUGUUUGGUGUAACGGACGGCGCAUGAAAACAAGUCCACUUCUCCCCCUUCUGAGUCUGGUUCUGCCAUUGUUGGACUUUGGACCAGUCCUCAAUGACUGAAAACUGGAACAUUGGGCUGAACAACCUAACUCUGUCCUUGGGCGCCAUUGUGACCGGAUCCAACGUUCUGUGAUUCAGGGCCCUUCCAGCUCUGACAUUUCCAGUUCUGGGUCCAUCACAACGCUGAGGUUCUAACGGUCCCCUCCUAAUGCGUGUUAAGGAUUAUUGCUCACUAAAAUGGAGCAUCAGAAGAGUAUGGCGGUCUCUGAGACAUCAGUAUCUUUGUGGUUCUAUGAAAUGUCACGAAGCCACAAUCUGGUGACCUACAGGAACUCAAGCUAAUCUAACUUGAAGCCUAAUGUAGUUUUUGAAGUAAAUGAAUGAAAUUAUCCCACGAUUUGGGCCAAUCUCACUAUCAUGGAAAUGCUAGGAUUUUUUUUUGGUAGUUCUUUUACCUUUAACUCCCUGAUAAAAUCAACAUUUAGCCACUAAGUGGGAAGGGGGGGGGCGAGGAAGAUGGAUAAUGGGCCGCCUGUGAAGGCUCACUUGGUAUUGCCUGUGACAGGACCAGGGCUGUGCUCCCCAGCAACGCUAACACAAACCAGCUGCAGGAAGAUGGAGGGAAGUGGAGAGGGAGGGAGGGAGAGGAGGGAAAAGGAGAGGGAAGGAAAGAGGUCAGGGCCUGGGAAAUUAAAUGUUCAUAAAUGUGGGCCCCAGCGCUUAAAAAGUAGGCCAGAAUCAUUAAAUCUCAUUAAAGUUUAAUACCUAUCAGUGCCACUUCAGGCGGGCCUUGGACACUGCUUUAAUUUGAUGGGUGUUAAGGGAGAAUUAUCAAAUAAUUGUGGUAGCUGGGGACUUGCUUUUAUCAUGUUAACAUGGAGAGCUAGACUCAGCUUUGUACUUGACUUCAAAACCUGAAUUGUUCCUCAGGUUAGCUGGCUUUUAGCUAUCCAGUCCCAUUUGUCCCAGACAGAAACCCUCCCCUGCCGGGUGCUAGCGCCUGCCCUUUUAGAGAGGGAUGAGGCUUGGGCACUACGCUUUCUUAGUUUAUCACCCAUUCCCCUUAGGCUCGGGGGUGAGGUUACUCCAUAAAGUGUGGUAUGGCUUCCUGUGGUUGGUAAAAGAUCUGAAAUUGUGACCUCCCUAAGGUUGCCAGCUAGUUCCAAGCUGAGCUGGAGAACACAGAAUGUUAGUAGUGGAAAGACUCUUAGAACACAGAAUGUCAGAGAUGAGGGACCUUAGAACACAGAAUGUCAGAACUGGAGAGGUCCCUAAAACAUAGAGUGUCAGAACUGGAAGGAAGCUUAGAACAUAGAAUGUCAGAGCUGGGAGGCAUCUUAGAACACAGAAUGUCAGGACUGGAGAGGUACCUUAAACAUAGAGUGUCAGAGCUGGAAGGGAACCUAGAACACAGAAUGUCAGGGCUGGGAAGGCCCUUAGAACAUAGAAUGUCAGAGCUGGGAGGGGUCCUAGAACAUAAAAUGUUAGCAAUGGAAAGAAUCUUAAAACAUAAAACACCAGAGCUUAAGAAGGACCUUAGAACACAGAAUGUCAGAACUGGAUGGGUCCUUAAAACACAGAAUGUUAGAGCUGGAUUUUAGAAAAUAGAAUAUCCGAGCUGGGAGAGAUUUUACAAUAUAGCACACUGUAGCCAGGAAUGUCCUUAGAACACAAAUUGUCAGAGCAGGAAGGUACCUUAGAAUGUAGAAUGUCAGAACUGGGAGGGAACUUAGAACACAAAAUGUCAGAGAUGAGCGGUACCUUAGAACAGAGACUGUUAGAAUGGGGAUAAAACUUAGAACAUAGAAUGUCAUAGAACACAGUAUCAUAGUGGAACUGGACCUUAGAACAAAGUCAAAGUUUUAAGAUUGUUUGGUCUGACCCUCACUUUACAAGUAAGAUGUGCAGUCGUUUCCCCCAAUUACAUUCCUAUUCAAUAAAUUCUUCCCUCUUUAGAUGGAAGGGAUAUUUCUCCUCAUAAGCUCCGGCUUUCUCUUUUCUUCCACUCCCAAAUCUACUUCUCCACCUUUCCAGCAAAAGCACAUUUUCUCCAUCCAUGUGCCUAAAGAAUGCCGGCCUUUCUCCCAGUCCAUUCAUUCAGGAGGCUGGAUUACCAGUUAUAUGUAAUACACUGUGCUAGGCCUGGGGCGCAGAUGAGGAUUGGGGGGGACUGUUAAAAUAAAUAAACAAGAAAAGACAUAGUAGCCAGAUACAUCCCUGCACUGAGAGUGAGAACCGGUUUCAUUCAGUCAACCUCUCCGGCCUCCAGUUUCCCCCUCGAUGAAAUGGGGAGGUUGGACCCCUAAAGGGUCUUCUGACUCUGACAUUCCAUGAUUUUGUGGUUUCUCUGAGGAGAAAGAAGGACUUCUUUCUGGGAAAGUCAUCAGGAACACCUACAGUGUACGAGGCACUGGACAUGCAGAGAUAGGUUGUGAAAUCUAGGUCUUGACCUCUAGGAAGACAGGGCUUAGGGAAAGAAUGCAGGGAGAGAGCUCACUCUCUGAGUCUUUGCCCCGGUGGGCCCUUCUUCCCUCCUAUUGGAGAGGGAUGUGGCGAGCUCUCCCAAGAUCUAUUUAAGGAGGGCACUCAGUAGGGCCAUCUCAUCAUUUCUCCUGCCUGGCAGGAGCCAUGUCCACAUACUCAAUACCCUCCCCGUCCUUUUCAGUUUCUUUUUAUGUGUUGUCUUCCCUUUCCUCCCCAUGAGAUCAUAAGCUCCUAGAAGGUGGGGAUUCUUGUGCCUUUCUUUGUAUUCUUAGAAUUUAGCACAGAUACUAAGUGCUUAAUUAAAGCUUAUAUCCUUCCCCUCUCCCCUAUCAGCUUGUGAGUUCCUUGAGAGGCAGGACUGGCUUUUAUCUUUCCUUGUAUCCUUAGCACUUACCACAGUGCCUAGCACAUAGUAGGUGCUUAAUAAAUGCUUCUUCCCUUCCCCUCUGCCCUAUAAGUGUGUGAGUUUCUUGGCAGCCAAGUCUGACUUUUUCCUUUCUUUGUAUCCUCAGCACUUAGCACAGUGCCUGCACAUAGUAGGUGCUUAAUUAAAGCUUAUUUCCUUCCCCUCUCCCCUAUCAGCUUGUGAGUUCCUUGAGAGGCAGGACUGGUUUUUACCUUUCCUUGUAUCUUUAGCACUUAGCACAGUGCCUAGCACAUAGUAGAUGCUUAAUAAAUACUUAUUUCCUUCCCCUCUCCCCUAUCAGCUUGUGAGUUCCUUGAGAGGCAGGACUGGCUUUUUCCUUUCUUUGUAUCCUCAGCACUUAGCACAGUGCCUGCACAUAGUAGGUGCUUAAUAAAUGCUUAUUCCCUUCCCCUCUGCUCUAUAAGCUUGUGAGUUUCUUGUCAGUCAGGUCUGACUUUUACCUUUCUUUGUAUUCUUUGAAUUUAACACAGUGCCUGGCACAUAGUAGGUGCUUAGUAAAGAUUUACUGACUGACUGAGAGUGUCACUCAACAUGGCUCUAGUUGCCGAAGGAAGUCAGAAGCGGGGGCGCCCCGUUGGGAGUGCUCUGGGAUUACUUCUUGGAGGUAUAACUGGGCUUGCCUUGAGUAGGGUUCGGAUAAAUCCAGGCAGGUUAUGUCAUAACCGAAUCUCUCGUUGGAUAAUGAGCCCACGGGUCCCGGUAUGCUUUUUCCAGGUAGGUUAAGGCUGUUGAAUGCCUAAGGAUGUUGGGGUUCUGGAGCUGAAGGCAGAGGAAUAUUGGGGGACCUGUUGGAAUGGCCGGACAUACAAAGCAAUGGGCAGGUAGAAGGCACAAGGACUCCCUCCUCCACCAGACAGGCCCCUGGCUACUCAGUGCUGACUCACCCCCAUUAUAAAUCCUCCCCACAUCAGCUGCGUCCGUGGUCCAGCCUCUCCAGGGGACUGACUCUUUAGCCACUCCCGCCCCCUCCUUUCCACACUCACGGCCUCCCACCCCGGCUGCUCCCUGAGGCCUCGGCCACAUUCCCAGCCUCUUGUGAUCCAUGAGCUGGGGGCCAAGGCCAGGAAUAGAUUGGCAAAUGUCUGGCUGCAGCGUCCCUCCCGGGGAGAGGAGCCUCGGUGGGAGGGAGCUUGGGUUGCACAGGAAAUGAGGGAGCUCCCAGUUACUCUGGGUCAGUGUAAUCCACAGCCUGAGCCCAGGGGACCCCUCUGCUUUGGGUAAGAGGUGAAGAGGAAGAGUAGAUGUUCUAAAUAGAUUAGGGCUGUCUCCACGGCUAAUUCAGGCUUUGUCUUGGAGACUGGCUUGUUCCUGUUCCCCCAGCCUCCCUUAGAAUUCCCACCAGCUCCUGGAGCUAUUAAUGAGGACCCUUCAGCCAGGGACAUGUAUUCCUCAGGCCUUCGUUCCCUGCUUCCUCUGGGCCUAAAGCCUCAGGUUGUAGGGGUAACAGCAGCUCCACCGUUUGCUCUCCACUUUGUAAAACUUAGUGGGACCCUGUCUGUGGGAGGGAUGAGUCAAAAAUGAAUCUAUCAUCCUUUUUUCUCUACUUCCCCGCCAUUCCCCGCUUUGGAAAUUGUGUAAGGGAAGAAACAGGCCUCUCUCUGUGUCAGUCUGAAAAGUUAGAUACAGGGGGUUAGGGGAGGUUAAAAAGACUGUAAAUAUUAGGCCACCAGCAAUAAUGAAAAUAAGCAAACAGGCACCAUGUUUGGUCCCCAGAGGGCAAGGCCUCCCCAUAAACAAAACCAGGCUCAGUGAAAUUUAGGAAGAAAAUGUAAUCUCCCCCAACCGAGUCUUCUCCCCCACAUCUUCCAGGCCCAUUAGCUAAUCCCCAGGGGUCACAGAGCCCCUUGAAGUUCUCCCCUCGUUAGUCUGCGGGUUGGCCACUGUGGUUCCAUUGUUUGGAGUCAGGUCAUCAGGGGAGGGAGGUUCAUGCCAACCUGGGGUGGCAGCUUUGAGCACCAGACUUAAAAAGAAAUCUGCAAGUUGUUCGGCAGGUCUUAUCCCUUUAGACUUGGAAGGGGUGACUCCCGGCAGAGCUGACUGGGUCACAAGGGCAUUUUCAAGUUCCUCGAGAAGAUCAGUGUCUGACCAGGAGCCGAUCGAAUUGGAAGGAACCUCUGGUGAGCCCCAAAGACCAUUAGGUUAACUUAAAGCAGCUGCUCGGCCCCAGUCACCGUGGGAAGGGGCCACAUCUGGAACGCUUUACCAGGAGCUCAGCCCUACACUUGGGCUGCUUGCAAGAAGAUCACCCAUUUCCCGGCUGCCCUUUUAUGAGAUGGAUAGGGUUACCCUCCCCUCCAGGGAAGGUCUGACCUGAAAGGACCUGGACACUUCCUACAUAAGAGAGCAUUAGUCAGUCACUAAUCUGUCAAGAGGCCAAGGGCCAUGAACAGGAAGUACAAAAGAGAAAAACUUGGGCGACAUUGGAGUGGGUGGAAAAGUCUAGUCUGAUGGGCUCAAGAGUGACCCAAAGAGGUUCGUGUUUAAGGAAAAGUGAACUACACAGAGAGAUUUCUGCACCUUGGAACAGGAGGGAAGCUAGAGAGACCCGACAGGACUUGUGUUUAAGGAAAAGUGAACGGCAAGGAGAGACUUCUGCACCUUAGAGCAGGAGGAAAACUAGAGACCCGAAUGGGCUUGUCUUUAAGGAAAGGUGAACUGCACACAGGGACUUCUGCACCUUAGAGCAGGAGGAAAACUAGAGACCUAAAUGGGCUUGUGUUUAAGGAAAGGUGAACUGCAAGGAGGGACUUCUGCACCUUAGAGCAGGAGGAAAACUAGAGACCUAAAUGGGCUUGUAUUUAAGGAAAGGUGAACUGCAAGGAGGGACUUCUGCACCUUAGAGCAGGAGAAAAACUAGAGACCUAAAUGGGCUUGUUUUUAAGGAAAAGUGAACUGCACACAGGGACUUCUGCACCUUAGAGCAGGAAGAAUUAGAGUGGAACCUGGGUGCAGCUGAGCAGAGAAAUGGAGAAGAAAUGAGGGUGGAUCUUUAGAAGCUUGGAGACAAUCAGGUCUCUGGCCAAUAGGUCAGAGUAAUCAGUGUUGGACAGGGCCUUAGAGAUUGUCAGCAUGGGAGCUAGAAGGAGCUUGAAAGGCCCUAUAUCCUUUAGCCAUCACAACCCUCAUCUCUUUUAACAGAAAAGGAAAUCAAGCCCCAGAGUGUUGAAGGGACAUGCAUUCGGAGUGCAUGUGAAAGAUCUCAAGCUUAUAUUUAAGACUGAUUCUGUUCCCUUUCUGUGCUGGGAAAGCACAAUGUUAUGGGAAAAGCAAUGGUUUGUAAGUCUAGACACCCAAGUCUGAGUCUCAGAAGAUCAGAUAGCCUCUCUGAACUGCAGUGUCUUCUUUGGUCACAUUCAGUCAAUCAAUAAAUAUUUAUUAAGUACCUACUAUGUGCCAGGUCCAGCACUAGGAAUACAAAGAAGGGUUAAAAGAUAAUCCCUGUCCUGAAGGAACUCACAAUCUAAUGGGAGGAGACAACAUGUAGACAACUGUGUAUAAACAAUUCUUAAUUCUAAGGUUUAUUCUUGCCUCUACAAAAAUAUUUACUAUAAAAGUAUUACUAUAAAAAAUUUUUAUGUAAAGGACUUUUCCUCUUAUUUUUUAAAAAGAAAUUAUUACUUUUAAGUAUAGGCCUACGAGCUGCAAUGGCUGUGUUAUUAAUUUUGCCUAAUUGCUUUACUCUGUUACAUGAUGUGUCUUGUGAAGUGAGAAGUGAGAGUAAUCAAUAAUUAUAAUGACCAAAAAAAUCAAUAAAAAUUAAAAACAAAACAAAAAGAAUGAAAAAGGAAAGAAGGAGGGAAGGAAAGAAGAAAGGAAGGAAAGAGAGAAGGAAGAAAGGAAGGAAAAGAAGGACAGGAAAAAAAAGAAAAGAAAGGAAAGGAAAGGAAAGGAAAGGAAAGGAAAGGAAAGGAAAGGAAAGGAAAGGAAAGGAAAGGAAAGGAAAGGAAAGGAAAGGAAAGGAAAGAAGAAAAGGAA